AGAGGUGGCAAGCGUUGUUCGGAAUUACUGGGCGUAAAGGGCGCGUAGGCGGCCAUCUAAGUCAGACGUGAAAUCCCCCGGCUCAACCUGGGAACUGCGUCUGAUACUGGACGGCUUGAGUUUGGGAGAGGGAUGUAGAAUUCCAGGUGUAGCGGUGAAAUGCGUAGAUAUCUGGAGGAAUACCGGUGGCGAAGGCGGCAUCCUGGACCAAUACUGACGCUGAGGCGCGAAAGCUAGGGGAGCAAACGGG
rnacentral:rRNA from 1 species